AUACCUUUCUCGGCCUUUUGGCUAAGAUCAAGUGUAGUAUCUGUUCUUAUCAGUUUAAUAUCUGAUACGUAGGUCAUCGACCGACAUGAUAUUAAAUUAAUUUUUCUUGGGGGAGGGUCCACCACAGUAGCUUGCUAUUGGGUCCUCAAAGUGUUGCCCAUGCGUUGCACUACUACGCAGGCCUGGCGCACCCCUA